rnacentral:sRNA from 1 species
GCUUUCAACAUCCCCGUUCCGGGACGCAUCAGCGCCGUCGGGACUGAAGGC